AUUGAACGCUGGCGGCAUGCCUUACACAUGCAAGUCGAACGGUAACGGGCCUUCGGGUGCCGACGAGUGGCGAACGGGUGCGUAAUACAUCGGAACGUGCCCGAUCGUGGGGGAUAACGAGGCGAAAGCUUUGCUAAUACCGCAUACGAUCUACGGAUGAAAGCAGGGGACCGCAGGGCCUUGCGCGGACGGAGCGGCCGAUGGCAGAUUAGGUAGUUGGUGGGAUAAAAGCUUACCAAGCCGACGAUCUGUAGCUGGUCUGAGAGGAUGAUCAGCCACACUGGGACUGAGACACGGCCCAGACUCCUACGGGAGGCAGCAGUGGGGAAUUUUGGACAAUGGGCGCAAGCCUGAUCCAGCCAUGCCGCGUGCAGGAUGAAGGCCUUCGGGUUGUAAACUGCUUUUGUACGGAACGAAAAGCCUUCUUUUAAUACAGGAGGGUCAUGACGGUACCGUAAGAAUAAGCACCGGCUAACUACGUG
rnacentral:rRNA from 1 species